rnacentral:rRNA from 1 species
GAUGAACGCUGGCGGCGUGCUUAACACAUGCAAGUCGAGCGGGCAAUUUAUCUAGCACUGAUUACUUCAAAUGGAAAUCAUAAGUGUAAUCAUGAAUUUCUACCUUUAAUAAAGAAAAAAGAAAUUCAUGUACGCAAAUAGUGAUAACACAUUUUAGUGGAGUGAUGAGUGCUGGAUAAAUUGCUAGCGGCGGACGGGUGCGUAACACGUGGGUAACCUGCCCCUAUCACUGGGAUAACACACUGAAAAGUGUGCUAAUACCAGAUAACAUAAGCUUUUGGCAUCAUUAGCUUAUCAAAGAAUUUCGGAUAGGGAUGGGCCCGCGUCUGAUUAGCUAGUUGGUGAGGUAACGGCUCACCAAGGCAACGAUCAGUAGCCGACCUGAGAGGGUGAUCGGCCACACUGGAACUGAGACACGGUCCAGACUCCUACGGGAGGCAGCAGU